rnacentral:rRNA from 1 species
GACAGAGGUGGCAAGCGUUGUUCGGAAUUACUGGGCAUAAAGGGCGCGUAGGUGGUCAGGUAGGUCAGUGGUGAAAGCCCCCGGCCCAACCGGGGAAUUGCCUCUGAAACCAUCUGACUGGAGUGCAAGAGGGGAGAGUGGAACUCGAGGUGGAGCGGUGAUAUGCGUAGAUAUCUCGGGGAACGCCGGUGGCGAAAGCGACUCUCUGGUUUGCUACUGACACUGAGGCGCGAAAGCCAGGGGAGCGAACGGGAUUAGAUACCCGCGUA